rnacentral:lncRNA from 1 species
CACAAGAGGUGUGGGUGAGGGGAAUGCACAGGGACAUCCCAGCUGACUCUCCUCCAGGGAGCCUCUCCAAAAAUCCAGUGAAUUCCUCAGAAUCCUUGCCCUCACUUCAACUCCUGUCCACUAUCUUUGGGGAAACAAACACAAAUCUGUCUGGGAUUUUUUAAAAAUUAAUGCGACGACUCCCAGCUGAGGAUUCUGGAGCAGUCUAAGGCCAGUUACUGGACAAAAAAACCAAAAAAACCUAGACAACUUUAAAGAGCUUGAAAAACCCAUCUGGAACUGGGACAAUGAGGUUUCUUAAAAUACAAGCAAAUUAAGGAGUUUUCCUUUAGAAAAAUAAGAAGAAGAAAAAAAGGAGAGCAACAAUAAAGAUUUUUCCUGCAAAAAAUACUUUUAAAUUGCCAGUAAAAAAGGAACUGGAUUUUUUUCCUUAAGAUAAUAAGAGUAAAAGGUUUUUUACCCUUAAAAGAAUCCCUAAAAACAAAGAUAUUAACAUCUUUUUAGGAAAAAAAAUACACCACACUAAAAAUAUUGGUCGUUUAAAGGGUUUUUUUUCCCUCAAAAAGUGGAAUUCCUACAUAUAAGGACUUCUUUUUUCUUCCAGGAAAGAAAGGCCAAAGUACAUGAUAAAGAUUGUUUUCUUAGCCUCACAUUAACCAAAAAGAGUCCUCAAAAUCCCAAAUAAAUGGGGAUAAUCUAUUUUAAUCUAUUUUCUUCCUGAUGAUAAAAAAAAAGAAAAAAAGAGAUAAAGUAUCUAUAAUUUAAAAUAUUUUUAAAAGGACGUUUUUGUUUAAAAAAAAAUUAAAUCAGGCGAUAAAAGUGGAAAGUUUGGAAAGGGCCAAAAAUGUCACAUAAGGGUGAGGAGGGAUCCAGAGGUGUCUUAAAAACCCAAAAAUUAUUCAAAAAAAGUCUUAACUUUUUAUUAUAACAUUAUUAAAUUUCCCUUUCUAAAGAAUCCUGGGAGAGCUCAGAGAGAUUGGAUGGGUGGGAAGCUGGCAAAGUACAUGUUCAGUAUUUUUUUUUUUUUUUUGCUAAAAAAUGGAACAAGACAAAGUGAAAGCCUGCAUUUGAGGGUGGUUGAGCUCAUUUUCAGGCUGCAGUUCUUCACUUCAUUGAAGUGCAGCUAUUUUAUGGUCAAGGAUGUCACCCUCUAGUGUUUUGUUCCUCCUGAUUUUAGGUUCCAUGGUGGACACCAAAACCUCACCUGAAAAAGGUAAAUUUUGAGGGCUUUGCCCUAAGAAAACAUUACUUCUACCUAAAU